rnacentral:rRNA from 1 species
AGCGAACGCUGGCGGCAGGCUUAACACAUGCAAGUCGAGCGGGCACUUUCGGGUGUCAGCGGCGGACGGGUGAGUAACGCGUGGGAACGUGCCCUCUGGUUCGGAAUAACUCAGGGAAACUUGAGCUAAUACCGGAUACGCCCUUUUGGGGAAAGGCUUGCUGCCGGAGGAUCGGCCCGCGUCUGAUUAGCUAGUUGGUGAGGUAACGGCUCACCAAGGCGACGAUCAGUAGCUGGUCUGAGAGGAUGAUCAGCCACACUGGGACUGAGACACGGCCCAGACUCCUACGGGAGGCAGCAGUGGGGAAUAUUGGACAAUGGGCGCAAGCCUGAUCCAGCAAUGCCGCGUGAGUGAUGAAGGCCUUAGGGUUGUAAAGCUCUUUUAUCCGGGACGAUAAUGACGGUACCGGAGGAAUAAGCCCCGGCUAACUUCGUG